rnacentral:rRNA from 1 species
AUGGCGCUCUCCCUCGCGCGCAGCCCGCACCCCGCCGCCGCGGCGCCCUCGCUGCCCCGCUUUCAGGGGCGCAUUUCCCAGUACGCCCCGCUCCUCCACUCCCCUCGCCGCGCCUACCCCGGCCUCCGCCUCCGCCUCCCGGCCGCCGCCGUCGCGGCCUCCUCGCCCCCGGAGGCGCCGGCCGCCGAGCCCGCGGCCGCCGCGGAGGGGGACGAGGAGCUGGGGGAGACGCGGCGGAAGCUCUUCGUGGGCAACAUGCCGUUUACCUUCUCCGCCGCGGAGACAGAGAAGCUCUUCGCCGAGUGCGGCGUCGUCAAGGACGUCGAGGUUAUCAAGAUGAAGGACGGGAGGAAGAGGGGCUUCGCGUUUGUCACCAUGGCCACGGCCGAAGAGGCCGCCACCGCAGCGGAGAAGUUCGACGGCCACGAUGUCAUGGGAAGGAUCAUCAAGGUGGAAUUUUCAAAGAGUUUCAGAAAACCAGCUCCACCACCAUCUCCGGACACCAUUGUCGCGAAGUACAAGCUUUAUGUUUCCAAUCUUGCAUGGAAAGCAAGGUCUGCUGAUCUGAAGGAGUUCUUCUCACAGUUUAACCCAGUUUCUGCCAAUAUAGUCUUUGAAGAUAGAAAAUCAGCUGGGUAUGGUUUUGUUUCGUUUGGAACAAAAGAGGAAGCAGAGGCUGCUCUCACUGAACUCAAUGGAAAGGAACUUAUGGAAAGGCCUGUUAUCCUAAGAUGGCGGGAGGAUAAAGAAAGUGUGAAGGCUGAUGGUGAAGUUGAAGGCGUGAAGGUUAAUGAGCAGGCAGAAGGUGUGAUGGCUGAUGAAGGUGGUGAGGUUGAAGGUGAAGAUAAACAGUAG